CAGAAGAUAGUUUAAUAUAAAAUAUUAAUUUUGGAGAUUAACGACAUUAAAAAAUUUAAUUCUUCUGA
rnacentral:tRNA from 1 species